rnacentral:rRNA from 1 species
UACAGAGGUCUCAAGCGUUGUUCGGAAUCACUGGGCUUAAAGGGCGCGUAGGCGGGUCGGCAAGUCCGGGGUGAAAGCCCCCAGCUCAACUGGGGAAGGGCCUUGGAAACUGCCGGUCUUGAGGGAGGUAGGGGCCUGUGGAACUUCGGGUGGAGCGGUGAAAUGCGUUGAUAUCCGAAGGAACGCCGGUGGCGAAAGCGACGGGCUGGAUCUCUUCUGACGCUGAGGCGCGAAAGCUAGGGUAGCGAACGGG